rnacentral:rRNA from 1 species
CGAGGGGUAACAUUACUGCUUGCAGUAGAUGACGACCGGCGCACGGGUGCGUAACGCGUAUGCAACCUGCCUUAUAUUGGGGGAUAGCCCGGUGAAAACCGGAUUAAUACCGCAUAAUACUAUUUUAUCGCAUGGUGAGAUAGUUAAAGUUUCGACGAUAUAAGAUGGGCAUGCGUGACAUUAGUUUGUUGGUGAGGUAACGGCUCACCAAGACUACGAUGUCUAGGGGUUCUGAGAGGAAGGUCCCCCACACUGGUACUGAGACACGGACCAGACUCCUACGGGAGGCAGCAGUGAGGAAUAUUGGUCAAUGGGCGCAAGCCUGAACCAGCCAUGUCGCGUGAAGGAAGACUGCCCUAUGGGUUGUAAACUUCUUUUGUAUGGGAAGAAACGCAGGUACGUGUACCUGUCUGCCGGUACCAUACGAAUAAGCAUCGGCUAACUCCGUGCCAGCAGCCGCGGUAAUACGGUGGAUGCGAGCGUUAUCCGGAUUCAUUGGGUUUAAAGGGUGCGUAGGCGGUAAUGUAAGUCAGUGGUGAAAGCCUGCAGCUCAACUGUAGAACUGCCAUUGAUACUGCAUUACUUGAGUAUAAUUGAGGUAGGCGGAAUGUGUUGUGUAGCGGUGAAAUGCAUAGAUAUAACACAGAACACCGAUUGCGAAGGCAGCUUACUAAGUUAUAACUGACGCUGAGGCACGAAAGCGUGGGUAGCGAACAGGAUUAGAUACCCUGGUAGUCCACGCCGUAAACGAUGAUUACUCGCUGUAGGCGAUACACAGUCUGUGGCUGAGCGAAAGCAUUA